GCAUAACGCGAAGAACCUUACCUACCCUUGACAUGUCAGAGAUCCCUGAGAGAUUGGGGAGGUGCCGCAAGGAAUCUGAACACAGGUGCUGCAUGGCUGUCGUCAGCUCGUGUCGUGAGAUGUUGGGUUAAGUCCCGCAACGAGCGCAACCCUUGUCGUUAAUUGCCAUCAUUUGGUUGGGCACUUUAACGAGACUGCCGGUGACAAACCGGAGGAAGGUGGGGAUGACGUCAAGUCCUCAUGGCCCUUAUGGGUAGGGCGUUCACACGUCAUACAAUGGUCGGUACAGAGGGUUGCGAAGCCGCGAGGUGGAGCCAAUCCCAGAAGCCGAUCGUAGUCCGGAUUGGAGGCUGCAACUCGCCUCCAUGAAGUCGGAAUCGCUAGUAAUCGCGGAUCAGCAUGUCGCGGCGAAUA
rnacentral:rRNA from 1 species